GAUGAACGCUGGCGGCGUGCCUAAUACAUGCAAGUCGAGCGAACGGACGAUAAGCUUGCUUCUCUGAUGUUAGCGGCGGACGGGUGAGUAACACGUGUAUAACCUACCUAUAAUAGUGGGAUAACUUCGGGAAACCGGAGCUAAUACCGGAGAAUAUUUUGAACCGCAUGGUGCAAAGGUGAAAGACGGUCUUGCUGUCACUUAUAGAUGGAUCUGCGCUGCAUUAGCUAGUUGUGAAGUUAACGGGUUACCAAGGCAACGAUGCAUAGACGACCUGAGAGGGUGAUAGGCGACAUGAGAGCGGAGACACGGUCAUGACUCCUACGGGAGGGCGCAGUAGGGAAUGGGAGGCAAUGGGCGAAAGCAUGGCGGAGCGAGGGCGAGCGAGUGAUGACGGUCUUCGGAGCGUAAAAAUGUGUUAUUAGGGAAGAACAGAUGUGGAAGUAAACGUGCAGAUCUUGACGGUAAUUAAUCAGAAAGCCACGGCUAACUACGUG
rnacentral:rRNA from 1 species